rnacentral:SRP_RNA from 1 species
GCCGGGCGUGGUGGCUCAUGCCUGUAAUCCCAGCAUUUGGGGAGGCUGAGGCAGGUGGAUCACCUGAGGUCAGGAGUUCAAGACCAGCCUGGUCAACAUGGUGAGACCCUGUCUCUA